rnacentral:rRNA from 1 species
GCCUACCAUGCAAGUCGAGCGCACCUUCGGGUGAGCGGCGGACGGGUUAGUAACGCCCUGGGAACGUACCCUUUUCUACGGAAUAGCCUUUGGAAACGAAGAGUAAUACCGUAUACGCCCUUUGGGGGAAAGAUUUAUCGGAGAAGGAUCGGCCCGCGUUAGAUUAGAUAGUUGGUGGGGUAACGGCCUACCAAGUCUACGAUCUAUAGCUGGUUUUAGAGGAUGAUCAGCAACACUGGGACUGAGACACGGCCCAGACUCCUACGGGAGGCAGCAGUGGGGAAUCUUAGACAAUGGGCGCAAGCCUGAUCUAGCCAUGCCGCGUGAGUGAUGAAGGCCUUAGGGUCGUAAAGCUCUUUCGCCUGUGAUGAUAAUGACAGUAGCAGGUAAAGAAACCCCGGCUAACUCCGUGCCAGCAGCCGCGGUAAUACGGAGGGGGUUAGCGUUGUUCGGAAUUACUGGGCGUAAAGCGCACGUAGGCGGAUUGGAAAGUUGGGGGUGAAAUCCCGGGGCUCAACCCCGGAACUGCCUCCAAAACUAUCAGUCUAGAGUUCGAGAGAGGUGAGUGGAAUUCCAAGUGUAGAGGUGAAAUUCGUAGAU